rnacentral:rRNA from 1 species
CUCGAAAUAGCUUUAGGGCUAGCCUGGAGUUAAUCUAAUGGGGGUAGAGCACUGAAUGGGCUAGGGGGCCACAAAGCUUACCGAACCCUAUCAAACUUCGAAUACCGGAUAAUUGAUGAUCGGGAGUCAGACAGUGUGAGAUAAGUUUCAUUGUCGAAAGGGAAACAGCCCAGAUCUACGACUAAGGUCCCAAAGUUCAAGUUAAGUGGAAAAGGAUGUGCAAUUGCGUAGACAACCAGGAUGUUGGCUUAGUAGCAGCCAUUCAUUCAAAGAGUGCGUAAUAGCUCACUGGUCGAGUGAUUGUGCGCCGAAAAUGUAACGGGGCUAAACUUGACACCGAAGUCUAGGCAGAAGGAAACUUCUGGGUAGGGGAGCAACGUGUACGGGCAGAAGCAGAAGCGGAAGCGACUGUGGACUGUACAGGAGAGAGAAUGCCGGCAUGAGUAGCGAGAGCAAAGUGAGAAUCUUUGCCGUCGAAAGCCUAAGGUUUCCUGAGGAAGGCUCGUCCUCUCAGGGUAAGUCAGGACCUAAGCCGAGGACAAAAGUCGUAGGCGAUGGACAACUGGUUGAUAUUCCAGUACCACCUUUAGCGUUUGACUGAAGCAGUGACACAGAAGGAUAGACAGAGCGCGUGACUGGUAGAGCGCGUCCAAGCGAUGAGGGAGUUAAGUAGUGAAGAACGCUUAACAAUCCUGGGUCGUGAUGGGGACUGAAAAUAAGUAGGGAAGCUGUUGAAUUCACGCUGGCGAGAAAAGCUGCUAAGGAGCGAAAGGGUGCCUGUACCGCAAACCGACACAGGUAGGCGAGGAGAGAAUCCUAAGACGAGCGGGAGAACCCUUGUUAAGGAACUCGGCAAAAUGACCCUGUAACUUCGGGAUAAAGGGAGCCACGAGAGUGGCCGCAGAGAAUAGGCCCAAGCGACUGUUUACCAAAAACACAGGUCUGUGCGAAGUAGAGAUACGACGUAUACGGGCUGACGCCUGCCCAGUGCCGGAAGGUUAAGGGGAAGUGUUAGGGCAACCGAAGCACGGAACUUAAGCCCCGGUGAACGGCGGCCGUAACUAUAACGGUCCUAAGGUAGCGAAAUUCCUUGUCGGGUAAGUUCCGACCCGCACGAAUGGCGUAACGACUUGUGAGCUGUCUCAACAGGAGGCCCGGUGAAAUUGAAGUAUGUGUGAAGAUGCACAUUACCCGCGACUGGACGGAAAGACCCCGUAGAGCUUUACUGUAACCUGACAUUGGAUCUUGAUAACGGAUGCACAGGAUAGGUGGGACGCUGGGAGACGAGGACUUUGGUUUUCGUGGAGCGGCCGUUGGGAUACCACUCUUCUGUUAUUGAGAUUCUAACCUCAAGCCGUGAGCCGGAUGAGAGACAGUGUCAGGCGGACAGUUUGACUGGGGCGGUCGCCUCCGAAAGAGUAACGGAGGCGCCCAAAGGUACCCUCAGAAUGGAUGGAAACCAUUCGAAGAGAGCAAAGUCAGAAGGGUGCUUGACUGCGAGACCAACAAGUCGAGCAGGUACGAAAGUAGGGCUUAGUGAUCCGGCGGUAAGAGAGUGGAAUUGCCGUCGCUCAACGGAUAAAAGCUACCUCGGGGAUAACAGGCUGAUCUCCCCCAAGAGUCCACAUCGACGGGGAGGUUUGGCACCUCGAUGUCGGCUCAUCGCAUCCUGGGGCUGUAUUCGGUCCCAAGGGUUUGGCUGUUCGCCAAUUAAAGCGGCACGCGAGCUGGGUUCAGAACGUCGUGAGACAGUUCGGUCCCUAUCCAUCGUGGGCGUAGGAGUCAUGAGAGGAGCUGUUCCUAGUACGAGAGGACCGGAAUGGACGCACCACUGGUGCAACUGUUGUCGUGCCAACGGCAUAGCAGGGAAGCGAAGUGCGGAUGGGAUAAACGCUGAAGGCAUCUAAGCGUGAAGCCCACCUCAAGAAUAAGACUCCACAAUAGACCCCUGGAGGACUACCAGGUAGAUAGGUCAUCGGUGGAAGCGCCGUAAGGUGUGUAGCUUGAUGAUACUAAUCGGUCGAAAGCUUCAUUUA